UUAUCUACUUAUUUUAAAACUACUUUUUUAUCAAGUAAAAGAUUAUAUUAUCCUCAUAACUUUUUAAAAUAUUAACAUUAUCCUAAUUUUAACAACUACAACACCUAAUUACAUAUCAUUUUUUGAUAAAUUAAAUUAUUUUUAAGUACAUUUUAACCAAACGCUUAAACUACUUAAAAUUAACCCUUAAGUAAUUUUAUUAAAAAAUUAACUAUUCAUUUUCAAACCGACUUAUAAGUUAAAAAAUAAAUUUUAAGUUCAAAGUUAAAGGUAAAUAGCCAAACCAAACACCCUAUAGAUAUUAUCGAGUCUAAUUGUAAGAACUUAAUAUUAUAACUUUGACAAUUUUUAUAGUAUUUUAUCAUUUAUUUUUUAUAUGUUGACCUCAAAAAAAAAUCUAAAUCCAACAUUGUUUGAGGAUGUAUUUUAGAUCUAAAUUUUUCAAAUGAAUAAAACAAUGUAAAUUCAAGUGAAACUAUAGGUAGCAAGGACAACAUUAUAAAAACUAAGAAACUAUAUUAAUAUGAUAAAACUAUGAAAAUAGGUUAAUUAUCACACAAGGUCACUGUUUACAUAAAAGUUACUGAAUUUUAAUUUCUUUCAUAAAACUCA
rnacentral:misc_RNA from 1 species